ensembl:lncRNA
UGUACAUCCCAUCUGUUCACUGAUCAUCCUUGCAAAAUUCUAUUUCUUGUCAGCUGUGUAUAUGAAAGUUCUCAGACCUCUACCAUAUAUCUUUCUCCUCCUCAAUACAAACAGUUGGAAGACUUAAAGGUCUAUUGAUUCAGUCCUGCCUUCCUGUGUGGAAGUCUGCACAGCAAAAGGGGCAAAUCAUCUUGACAUCUGAAAACAGCUGCCACAAGAAAGCCAAUUUCCAUUUCAUUUAGAUAGUGGAGGGCAAGUCUGUGUAGGUAACCAAAAUAUUUUUGCACAGAUUGCUAGCCGCUAAUAGAAUGUCAGGCAUUAGGUACGUUUGCGGAUAUUAGAG